CUCUAAUAUGGCAGAAUCAUUGGAAAGGAAACUAAUUUCCACCAUUUUUAUUCUAUUUCCUUUCUUAUCCUCUCCCACAAAGUCCACUUUUAAUUCUCUCAAUUCCAAAAGAGGUAGCGAAAGUUACAGCAAUCCUCUCACAUUUUCUGUUAAAGAAACAGCCGAAAUAUUGAAGAGGCACUAUUUGCCCACACAGAUCGUCAAGCUUAUUUAGCACUGGGGACGCCGUUUUCCAAAUAUCACCACCGUCAGAGCUCACUCCGCUGCAGCCCACACGCUCCACCAUCCAUUUUUUAAAAUCCAUUUACGUUGAGCCUUUCAUCCAAACCCACGAACAACCAUUUCCUCCCUGCAACAGUGGCUGAAACUGCCCGAAACCAAGCAUCGGCUGAGUCCUGCGAACAGGGAGACUGCAGACUGCGGUGCUGGGCAGGGCCACUCCUCCCGCGCACACUAAAGCCUUCCUCGUCUCCCGGGUGAUUUAAGACAGUUCAGGACCCUGGUAAGACCCCGCCCUUGAAGCAAAGACCCAGGAUCGGGAGGAGGAGAGAGGCGGCCUCAGCCCAGCAGAGCCAAGCCUUUGGAAAACAGGCUUCUCUCCAGCUGCCAGGAGUGGCCCAGGCUGGGCGAGUGGCGCGUCUGAGCCAGGGCGCGCGGAGCCGCUCCCAGUUCACAGGCAGAGAAUGAAAAUGUAAUUGUCUCCAGCGCAGCCACCCACUACCCCCGACACCUACAAAGAGCGGCAGGGCCUGGAGUGCUUCAGGCUUCCUGGAAGACAUGGCAUUUGAAGUGAAACUGGAAAGCAGGACUUCCCUGGUAGCAUAGUGGUUAAGAAUCCGCCUGCCAACGCAGGGGACACGGGUUUGAGCCCUGGUCCGGGAAGAUCCCACAUGCCGCAGAGCAACUAAGCCCGUGUGCCACAGCUACUGAGCCUGUGCUCUAGAGCCCGCAAGCCACAACUACUGAGCCCACGUGCUACAACUACUGAAGCCUGUGUGCCUAGAGCCCGUGCUCCGCAACAAAGAGUUGCAAUGAGAGGCCCGCGCACCACAACGAAGAGUAGCUCCUGCUCGCCACAACUAGAGAAAGCCUGCGCGCAGCAACAAAGACGCAAUGCAGCCAAAAAUAAAUAAAUAAAUUUAUAAAAAUUUUAAAAAAACCCAGAAAACUGGAAAGCAGUUUAGACGAUUAUUAUAAUCAUAUAUAAAAUGCUUACCAUAUAUCAGGCAU